rnacentral:tRNA from 1 species
GAGAAGUUUUGAUCUCUUAGUUGUAGGUUCAACCCCUAC